rnacentral:rRNA from 1 species
GGACCUGACUGCUAUCGGAUUGAUACUAAGCCAUGCGAGUCAUUGUAGUAAUACAAGGCAUACGGCUCAGUAACGCGUAGUCAACCUAACCUAUGGACGGGAAUAACCUCGGGAAACUGAGAAUAAUGCCCGAUAGAACAUUAUGCCUGGAAUGGUUUAUGUUCCAAAUGAUUUAUCGCCGUAGGAUGGGACUGCGGCCUAUCAGUUUGUUGGUGAGGUAAUGGCCCACCAAGACUAUUACAGGUACGGGCUCUGAGAGGAGUAGCCCGGAGAUGGGUACUGAGACACGGACCCAGGCCCUAUGGGGCGCAGCAGGCGAGAAAACUUUGCAAUGUGCGAAAGCACGACAAGGUUAAUCCGAGUGGUUUCUGCUAAAGGAAUCUUUUGUUAGUCCUAAAAACACUAGCGAAUAAGGGGUGGGCAAGUUCUGGUGA